AUUGUUCUCUUGGUGGUAAUGAGGUUUAAUACUAGGCGUUUUAUACGUUUUCAUAAUCGGGUCAUAUUUAUCGUUGUUACAGGUUGGUAUUGGCCCCUUUCUUUGAUCAUGGAAAAAUGAUAUUAUAUUAACUUAUGUUCCUCGAGGAAAAACUACAAGUACCUACUUACAAUUACAAACAAUCGAUUUAUGUUUGUGUAUCGUUGAAUUGUUUGGUUUAUCAAGCAAUGCGAAAAAUUCUCCAAAAAUCUUAGUUACCUAUCUGCUCUUCUUGGACACAUAUU